UCCACCCGUCUCAGCCUCCCAAAGUGCUGGGAUUACUGGGGUGAGCUACCACGCCCAGCCCAGCUUGCACAUACUUUAGCUCAUUGGUCACCCUCCUCUCCCCAGUGGAAGCCCCAGGAACCUCUCAAGGCCCAGCUUCAGCCUCACCUUCCCUGUGGUCUUCUUCAAGCAGACCCAUACCAAGCUCUCUGUGCUUUGGAAACUGCCAGUGAGGUGAAGUGGGGAGGCAUCGGAGCGACAGCCACGUUGUAUGCCUGCUGCACGAGCCAGACCGCAGGACAAUACUCAAUGAGAGGCACCAACAUCCAUCCUGGCUGAGCUGAUGAUGGUGAGAGGCCACAGAGCCAUGAAAAUGACUUGGAGCAGCCUCCAUGUAUUCCUCAGGGUUGAAUCAUUGUGUGCACCACAGAGCAUUUGCUUUGUAAAAAAGCUAACACUGUGAAAAAUGGGGUAGGCACUUCCUGUUUUGACCAGGAACAAAUGCAAACCAGACCCUGCUCCUCUCACCAGGCAGAGCUUGCUCUUUCAAUUCAGAGAUAUCUUCAAGGACCCAAUUAUGCUGUGGUGCGGAAUGGAGCAUGUAUGUAACUGAGGUUCCUGCCAAAGACAUCAUCUCCUGGCUGAAUGGCAAGACUGGCCAGGACACCAGGAAACUGAGACUGAUUGGACACACAAGAAUGUGAGCUGGGUAAGCAGAAUGAAGGCCCUGGGCAUAACUUGAACACCCGAGGAACUUGAACCCAAGGCUGGCACAAAAGCCAGAAGGUGUUACUCUCCACCAGCUCAGGGAUUGUGAAGAUCUCUGUGCAGACUCCACUCUGCGGUUGGACAGCAUCCCUGAGACAUGCAUUUUGGAAAUUGUGAUCAACCAGAAUCCAGAACACGCUGUGCUUAAUGGAGUGAACUGCCUGUGAAGCGCAGGUGUGAGGGGCGGAUGAUAAGUGACAGUGCCGGUGCCCCCAGCGCCCUUUUACCUGAUGGCUCACCCGGCCUACAGCUGCGCCCUUCCCUUUGAAUCGUCUUGGGUAACGGGUGCUGCUUUGGAAAUGCCUGGAAGGUCAUGUCCUUUGUCUGGGGAUGGCUUCCAGCUGUGGUUGACUGAUAGCAGGGGGCACAGAAGGCCAGACACAACUUGCCUCAGGUGGGCCGACUCUGAGGGUUUGUUCGGCCUCCACGUGGACUUCAGCUGAGCCUGCAUCUUUGCUUGGCUUUUCCCACUGGCCUAUUCUGCUUCCCUCUCCUUAAGGGUUCUCCCAGGAGAACUCCCUUAAUAAAUCACUUGC
rnacentral:lncRNA from 1 species